ensembl:lncRNA
CAACAGUGCAUUAUGUCAACAGAGGGAGAGACUUGAAUGCAGAAACGUACAUUAUUAUUAUUAUUAUUAUUUAGCCAAUGUCUUUGUCCAAGCCAAGGCCAUCUACAACAGAAGAAAGAUUCUUAGAAUAGCACAAUUUGCUACGUAGCCUGAAAAACUCCAGUAAAAAUCUCAGGUGUAGAGAUGGGCCAAAUACUGUGUCAUUAAAAAAACUGUUCCCGGAGAAAAAAGUAAUAAUAAUACUAAUAGUAAUAAUAAUAAUAAUAAUGAUUUCUGGACGUGUACUCUAAAGUAAUGAGGGGAAUGAAAGCGCGCGCUCUCAGUUGAAACUCCGCGCUUACGAGCCUUCCCGUUUCAGUAAGUCGCGCGGCGCUCCGUGACGUCACGUACGCGCGCACUGUACGCGGAACGUUCCUCCGAGCGCGUGCUGCUGGCGCCGUGAGCACAUGGAGAAGGGCUCAAGGUGGAGAAGGGUGGAAAAGUACGUCGUUUCUCUUUCCGGAGACGGUUUAUUAUUUUUCCACGCACAAAGUGGAAUAAUGUGGACAUCUCAGCUCGAGAAGAAAAGCGAACCGAGGGAAGGGCUCCGUACCACUGGGACUGCAUUGAACAGUUGCGGAUGGAUCGAUGGAUCAAUGGAUCGAUGGCUUCAUUAACACUAAGGAUGAUUCGGAGCUCCGGACAUGUGGGAGGUGUAAGGCCCGGAGAGAUAGAGGAGCAACCCAGCUUCCACUGGUGGGGAAAUAUGGUUUAAUACGUCUCACCGAAAGCCCUUUUGGACCGAAAGUGUCCUCCUCACCAACUACCAGCUUCAUCUCUAUCUUCGUCUGCAAGCAGACCACACCUGCUGUCCAGCCACGUCCCACGAGGGACCCCGUUCCUCUGCUGAUGACCCUCCAGCCCAGGCCGCUUCCUCCAGCUGACUCCGGCCGAUGUGAGGCUUCUGCUGCCAUCUGCAGAUCCAGGACCUUAGGGGUCCAUUGCGUGUACGAUGUUCUCACCCAGAUUCUUGAGCACUGCGACAGCAUUAUCCCACUAGUGUGGCAACACGGACAUUUCUGUAUCUAGCUGGGGCCCAGAAACCUGAGAAGGAGAAACAGCUGACCGACAUGAACCAGUGAGCAGCAGGCAGAGACCCAACAUUCCGCCCGGCUCACUAGACACUGAGCGCCGGCCGGGGAUAAGAGGAUCACGUCCAGGACAUUUCCGCCAGCUGCUGGAGUUACUCGGCAUACAGGCACACAAGCAGCGGGUGAGGAAGGGGGUGUUCAUUUGGGGAGAUGCUUUCAAAAUGAGGUAAUAACGGGAUGUGGGAAUGAAAAGGAAAAAGGAAUGAAUGAAACACGGAGAGGGUUCUAUUUACAUCCUGCUAAAAACGCCACAAAGCAAGGAAGUGGGUUCAAUGAAAUUCUCUUAAAGCGAAGAUCCCAUGUAACACCGAGGGAGGCUGGGUGGCAGCAUCAGCGGGGCAGGCACUGGCAUCCUGCCGCAAAAAAAAGAACAAAAUUAAUGUGUCUACCGCACAGCUGAAUAAUGAAUAUUAAUAUUGUGUUGGUU